GACGUAGGGCGCGAGCGUUGUCCGGAUUGAUUGGGCGUAAAGAGCUCGUAGGCGGCUCGUUGCGUCGGCUGUGAAAACCCGCAGCUCAACUGUGGGCCUGCAGCUGAUACGGGCGGGCUGGAGUUCGGUAGGGGAGACUGGAAUUCCUGGUGUAGCGGUGAAAUGCGCAGAUAUCAGGAGGAACACCGGUGGCGAAGGCAGGUCUCUGGGCCACUACUGACGCUGAGAAGCGAAAGCAUGGGGAGCGAACAGG
rnacentral:rRNA from 1 species